UCUGCCUCGUCAACCCAUAACCAAGAAGGCCAUGAAAAAUAUAUUAAAACACAACAGAGCAAGAAAUGUAUUUACAUAGUCACUAAAUGAACAAAAUCGUUACAAGUCAGCAAAGGUUUUAAAGGUUUAAGAAAAUGGGUAGAUGGGAUGGGAAAUUUAGUUUUCAGCAGUGUAGUUUUAUUUCCGGUGUUAUUCGAGAAAGAGAAAUUGGCACGGAUUGUGUCUGAUCCCUUGCAAAUUUGUAAUAUUUAUAAAAGUUCACGGGGAUUACAAUUUAAGUUUGGCGCAUUAUAAGCUGGUUUAAAUCAGAGUGGUGUACUGUCAAUGAGGGUUACCUCGUUGUAAAUUAUCAUACUCCUUUAUUUGUUUACUUCGUUCUCCAUAUUUUUCUAUUGACCAGUUAUUGAAUGAGUUUGAUGUUACGGCAAAUCGAUACGUGUAGGUCAUAUAUCGUCGUAUUGUCUAUGCACUAUGUAGUUUCAGUGUGCGGGGCUACUUUCAUAACUUUGUUUAUCUGUCUUGUAUGUAUUGCUUCUACCAGUUAUUAUAAUGAAGUCGUUCUUACAAAGGCGACUGAUAACCAGCAGUCAAUACGGAAGACAGGAAGACAGCUUACACCAAUAGCUGUUUUGCAAGCUAUAUGCAAUCUUUUCAUGUCAUUCUAUUAGUUUUCUUUCAUCAGAGCUGAAACCUUCGCGAAGAGAUUCGAACCUCGGACCUCUUGAUUGACAGUCAAACGUGUCACCACUAGACCAGCGGCUCAUCAACUGGAACAUACGCAGGUUAUGACACGGCGAUAUAUCUACUGUAGUACCAUACAGCUAAGCUUUGAACAAUGGAAACGUCAUUUCUAGCUCUCCGACGCUUUAACUAAUGUGAGAUGACAGUCAGUUGACGACUGGAAAGAACGAAAAGCAGAUAUAAACGUUUUUUUAUUAAAACCUUGAAAGGUACAAGUAAGUAAAUGUAUGAAAUUCCGCAGAAUUUUGUCAAUAUGCUAGGAUUAAACACAUGCUUUAUUACUUUCGCUAGAGAAAUUACAGUCAAAAUAAAUGGAUAUACACAUUCUGAUUUUCAUUUGUUUUGCCUUCUUUAUUCUGUUAUUAGUGCAAUAAAACGUUUCAUCGUUUAAAAUGAAUAUUAUGUGUAGUUUCGUUGAAAAGCAUAAAAAAUAUGAAUAAAUGUACACACUGUAUCAAUCUAAAAAAAUAUCCAUACAUAUUUGGCUUUUAAAAUUGCUGCAUUAUAAAAGUGUUUGUCUUUAAAUUUAUAUCGUACUUGCUAUUAGUUUUAUUCAUAAACUCAGAAAAUUAAAAAAGUUGAAUAACGUGCUUUUAUUAUUCAAGUUAAUAGUAAGAUAUUAUAAUUGCAAUAUCUUGAGCAAACAUAAGCAUGAAAAAAAUUCUUUGCGUGCAAACGUUCCUUAAAUCUGUUGAAUGAGAAAUAAACUAUUUACAUUACUUGAGCUAAGUUUAAAAUAGGGAAACAACAGUAGAAGAGCACGGUGCAUGUUAUAAAUGCCACAUAUAUGUAUUUGUAUUAUUAUUGUAUUCUAGUUAAGUCUAAAGCAAGACUCAUCCAGUAUAUAAUAAUAAUAUUUUUUAUUCUGAAAUAGGAAGUCUAUUAAAAAAUACAAAAUAUACUUCGCAUAAUUUGUCUGUGUUUCAGAGUUGAAAAUAAUAUAAAUAUAAAGGUAGUGUUCAAAUGUAAAUGGAAAUGACCCGAGGUUUUUACAGAAGCUGGUAAUCUCGUUUCACUGUUUUCUUAAACUAUACCAUUGUCAUUAAAGUCUAUCAAUUUGAAAUAACAUUUUAUUGUUUCUAUUUAUUGUUAAAGUAUUUACAUGUAAGUGACAUGUAAGGACAAUACGUUAAUCAAGAUAAUUUUGUUAGCUCUCUUCUGGUAUUCAAGAAUACAUUCUUUCCGAAGUCUAUCAAUUAAAAAAAAAUCUAUUGUUUCUAUUCUGUGUGUGAGAGAUAUUUUAGGACAAUGCUUUAACCAAGAUAAUUGUGUUAGUUCUCUCCGGUUAUUCAGAUUCUUAAUUUCUUUACACUAUUCAGCCUUUUGAUCAUUUAUUAAUAAAUCUUCCAAGCCUUGAAUAAUUUUCACAUCACAAGAUGAAUGUAGGGGAGCUUUUUGUCGAUGAGAACAUGUGUAUGAAAAAUACUGUGUCCAUGUUCAGCUGAUAAAUCAAAAUGCAGUAAAAACUUUUUUGUUUAGCAUUUUCCAGAUUUAUUAGUAUGAAACUGUUUCAUCUGUAUGAUAAGCGUUGUUUUCCUAUUUUUCAUAAAAUAUCACUGUUGAAAAAUGUUCUAGCUUGACUAUUUCCAGUCAUAUAUAUAUACAUAUAUACACAGGGAAAAAGAAGAAAGUGUAGGAGACCCACUAAUAUUACAUAUGCGGUUUAUUCAGAUUCUGUCCAAUAAUAAUUAUAAAAUAAUGAAUUACAAUACAUUUGGGAUGGAUAUAUAUAUUGUAGUAAUAGGAAAAUGUUAGUAAACCCAUUUUUAAGAAACGCAUCCUGGACCCUGGAAAAAUAUGUAAAAUUAUCCAAGUUGAGGAAAAACGCCAAAAGUGCAUUCAACCGAUUGAAAAUAUAUGUAUGAGGAAGGCAGUCUAGUUUACGAAACUCUAAUCGAAAUUACUUGGUUUUCAUAAACACGUGUUGUGUUGUUACAAAUUGUUUCAAUACAAACAGUUGAUCUAAUUGAAUCUAGUAUUAUAAGUGGUUUUAACUGAUAUCAAACUUUUAUUAGCUAUAAAUAAGAAAUCAUUCCUCAGAUAUAAAUAACAAUUUAUAUGUAAUGUAAAAAGCGUGACGGAAAUAAUAUAUGCAUUUUAGUUAUAAAUUUACUCUAACUUUAAUUCUAAAUUUCAAUAAUCAGUAAGUAUUUUACGAUUAUUUAAGACAGAUAUAAAUUUUCAUUCUGAUCUAUCUCUGCAAAGACCAAAUGUUUUAUUGUUGGUUUGAAAAUGUGUAAUGAAUGGACAAGACAAUCUCUUGUGUUAGGUGAUUUUGAAAACUAACUUCCACCAAUCGCUAAUGUCGGACCAUUUGCAAUGUUCUUGAAAAAAAAACCUUUCAUUAUGUUCUUUUUGUUAUUUUUGGAAUAUAGACUUAAGCAGAUAGACGGAAUCCAUUCUAACAGUUUUUUUUAUUCUAUUUGAUGUGUGGAUAUAAAAAGUGAAAAUAAAACUAAUAAAAAUCAUUUAUUAUUUUGAUUAUUUAAAAAAAAACUUGCAACAAUUUGCUGGAUUAAUUAAGCAACCAUCAAGGGUGCUUACAAACUAUAUCGUUUGUACGCUUUGCUUUGAAAUUUGUGAGUACUAUGUAAAGUAGAGCUCAGGUUCAAUAAUGAUGGCGUUUGCUGCAUGUAUCACAAAAAAGUAACGUUAUUUGGACAGAUUUGAAUGAAAGUAUUAUCUAUUAUCAUUUCUCAAACGACGCUUUAAUUAUUAGCAAUUAAUUAAAAGAAUAAAACAUUAGGUCUAACAACAUUUUAUUCUCAAAUGUGAGUGAAAAUAAGUACUCUGACUGCAAAAUAAUAAACUAGUCAUCUUUUUUUCGUUGUUGCGGCUUAAACAACUACUUUCAUUAACGUGAUCGAAACAUAAUUCUAAUGAUGGACCUGUUGUUUUUUUCAUCAAUAAAAUCUGAAAAGUAGAUCCCUCGGAAGCACCGAGAACAAGGCAAACAGUGAAAAUUGCAGACUCGGUUUGAUUGAGUCUGUUCAUGAGCAGUAAUGGAAAAUGCAACACUGCCCACGCCCCCUAGCACCGGCUUAAGUUACAUUUACUGUGCAAAACAGCGAGCAGAGCAUUAUAAACACUGUACAUGUACCUAAAAUAAAAAAUAGUUCAAUAUCCGUGUUUCGUCAUAUUUAACUGCAUUUGCCAGACUAGCUGCAGACAUUGAAUAUAUCAUUUCCCUAGACAAAACACAUUUGUUAUUUUAAUAUGCAGAUUAAUUUGAAAUUAGAAAAAGACAUAUUUUAAAUCUUUAUCUUCAAUACGAGCAAGAAUAAACUACUUUAUAUAUAAUACAUUUUCAGAAUAUGUUUUGAAAGACUCCCGCUUGUACCGCUCCUAAUAUAUACCAUCUAUAAGCUACUUAUGUUUCUCGUACACUGGAAUUACCUCAACCAAUGUACGGAUAUCGCAACAGAACAGACUGGACAUAUAAAACUGUUAAAAAUCAAACAACAAAUUUAGCAAAUACUGCAAAUAUUUAACGUUCAGGGAGUAUCUUCUCCGAAAGGUUAACAUGUUUUGCAACAUUACAAUGCAAAGGGUACAUAAGAGUGUUGGGUAAAAUUUCAGAUUUGCAAUUAAGUGGAGGCUGGAAUUUUAUCCUUUCAGAUAAAUUGAAUUAUCAUUGAUGUUUCACUCUGUUUAUCAUGAAAUAUAAAGAUCCUAGCAACAUCAGUAAGCAAGGAGAAGACGCUAGGCACUGGAGUAGCAACCUGUAGUGAAUGAUGCAUUUUCCAUAGUGAUUGAUGGUUUUUAUGGAAGUAGUGGCAUCUACAACACACGUCGAGAAAAAGAAAGCUGACAGUGUCAGUAAGUUAAGGUUAAAUAUUAUUCUUACCUUUUAACGUUUUGCUCGUUUAUAAUAUAAUAAGGAAGUAUGCUUAUUGUUAAGUCUUGUAACAGUUGAACAGCGGGAGUUUUAGUAAAGUAUACAAAAAUACUUUAUCUUGUUAAAUCAUUUCCAUAUUACAGAAUGUUAUUCAAUACGAAAUGCUUUGGAAACAAAUGUCCAAAAUGCAUGUCUUAUGCACCUUGUGUUUACUGAUUUCAUUUAUAAGACGCAAGGCAGACAUUAUUUUUAAAAACUGUAUGUAUGGAUCAGGAUAUAUAAAAAGUAUAAGGCUAAAGUUCAGUUGUUUUCUUUUCAGAUUGUGUGACAGUUAAUCUAUUUUAUGUUUCUAACAUGUUUGCCUGUAAAAGCCCUCUCCUGAUUUACUUCUAAAAUUGGUUUCAUCAGGACUUCUUAAACAACAUAAAAAUGCGAUCCCGCUCGGAUUGUUCUAUUUACUUAAUGACUAGCUUUAAAUGCGGUUGUUUCUGUCACUGUAAGAGAUAAGCUUAUAUUCGGUAUCUACUUUUGUGUUUAAACCGGGGUUUUAGUACAAAUGUCAAACAAAAUUGAUGGUGCAAUUUUUAAACCCCUAUAAGUCAAAUUCUAACUAUAACUUUUGUUUUCGAAAUUCUUCUAUACGAAUAUUACUUAUCAGCUUUUUGAUAAUAAAAUAUCAUUGGAAUGGGUUCAUUAUGAAAUAACCUAACAUUUGUGUUAUUUAAAUAAAUAAUGACAGAACUCAUUUUUAAUGGCGACCAAGCAGACUUUUGUUAUAAUUCUUUUAGAAAUACAGUACCCAUUCUAUACAUUAUGUUCAUAAUGUUUUUCAUGGUAUUCGACGUAUAUAGACCAUGCAAUGCCGAAUUAUCUAUGAACAUACAUAUAUACAUCGCUAUUUGAUUCCAGUAUAAUGUGCUGCAUUCAUUGAGUUUGUCUACAUCCGUCGAAUAUGUGUAUAUAUUUUUUUUCAUGUAUUUCAAUGAUGUUUGCAUGAAUGGAACGUUAUCAUGUUGUAACGAUUACUUCCAAAGGCCAAACACAACUAUCAAUACGGACGACAGCUUUCAUCAAUGGGUAUUGGAAAAGUUUACAACAAUAUAUUCAUACCUUACCAUUGUUUUUGAUCAGAGGUGGAAAUAUCACGAAGAAGUUGUUGGUUAGAAUCGGAGUUAAUUUUCUAUACCAUGUGGAUAAUACAUAGGAAGAGUGAAGAAAUAUAACUAUUGGUGAUAAUCAAAUCGGACCUGAAUUCCAAUAUGGCCUGGAAUAGACGUACAUAUAGUGGAGGAAUACUGAAGAAAACGUUUUAUUGUGAUUCAAAUUGGAUGGAUUUGAUAUUCUAUGCAGUUUGGAAUAUACAUAGACAUAGUGAAUGAUUAUCAUUAUUUAGUGGAUUUAAUUUUAAAUACAUUUGGAAUAAAUAUAGAUAUAGUGCAGGAAUAUAAUUAUUGGUGAGUAAGUUUCUUCUAAAUAUUAAUAUGUAUUUAAAUCAGAUAUAAUGCUCAAAACUUUUGAGACAUACACUUAUGAGAUGAAGGAAUAUAAUAACUGAUGAGUGCAUCGUGUUCUAAAUAUUAGACAAACCACUAUGUAUCCAUUUAAUUGACUUUGAUAUACAAUUUGGAAAAUAAGUACGAAAUGAAUAUUUUGGGAAGACAAUAGAUAUCGUGUACUGUCAAAAGAAACGCAGGUAACGUCGCACCGACACAAUUAUGGGUCAUAUGGCGACUUUCCAGCUUUAAUGGUGGAGGAAGGCCCCAGUUGCCCCUCCGCGCAUUAUGUCAUCACGAGCGGACACCUGGGUAGAACCACCGACCUUCUGCAAGCUAGCUGAACCGAUGGCACAAAUGUAUGGUCUUUUUCUAUAGCGCGUCCCUGUAAAAUAAUUCCAUGUCUUGAAUAUUCUCCUUUCAGCUGAGCACACUAAAACAUUUUCGCGAAAAGUACAUGUGCAAUAUUGAUCUUAUUAAAUUUCCCGAGAUGUUUGCUGAAAUAUAUAUCGUGCAUAUCAAGGAAAUGUAAAGAUCAAUUAUAUGUACGAGUUAAGCAUUGUAGACAGUAUACUGGGAAAAACACUAGAAGUGUAAGCAGUUUAAUCGCUCGUAAAAUCAUAAGAAAAUGUCGGGACCCGAACGACGCUCUAGGAAAUAACCUGAAGAUCAGGUGUUUCGUAGAUUUUCGUAAUGAUCAGACAAGUAACUGAAGAGAACAAAGCCGUUGUACGAAUUUCAGUAUUCACAAAAUAUGACACUUUUUUUCAAUUGCCGCUGUUUCUGUCUGGGAGCUGACCAUUUCUGCGACAAUUUUAAGCGGUUUUUUACAUCAAGGUAUCCACCGACUGACUUCUCUAACGUAACUCGUUGAAAAGAGUUUAAGAAACGUGUCCAGCCGGGAAUUACAUGUACUACAAAUUUACUAAUAGAUUUCUAAUUGAUAUUGCGUAUUUGAUGAAGUUACAUUAAAAAACAAAAUGAGACUACGAAAUCAGACAGCGGAAUUUAGAAGAUUUCAUUAAGUUGAAUAGAAGAUCUAUCAAUAUUAAAAAACUUAAUAAUUUUACGGGUUUUAUUUAUUUCUUUUAUUAUUUUAUUUGAACUGUGGUUGUUUAUUUUUUGACGAAUAGUUUUAUAUUUGUGGUAAUAUUCGGUACAUUACAGCAAACGUAGGAUAGACAGAUAAGCCGUUUUGUGAUUUUCAUAAAUAACGUAGUAUUUCAACAAGAAAGAUUUGAAAGAUUGCUGCAGAUCAUCAACGUUAAAACACAAAAAUUAAUACACAGUGUUAUGCCUUCUUAUGAAUUUUCAAAAAAAAACAUGACUGUAUAAUUACUAUAUUUGGAAGUAAAUAAAAUUCGAUAGGUAAGACCAAUCCUUUUUUAUAUGACGACUGCCUAUUUAACAGAGUAAUUAUAAUUUAGAAGUUUCGUUAUUCCAAAGAGUUACUUAAGAUUUAUAUGCUGUGUAAUAGGCACAAAUUCAAUAUUUAUGACAUUUUAGCCUGAAUAAUAAGUUGUAUUUACUCAAUUUCUUUGCGUUUUUCUUAUCUGCAGUUAUAUAGCAUGCCUCGGACCAAUACGACAACCCUUGGACAAAAAACAAGGCCAAUAUGAAAUUGCUCGAUUAAUAACAUUAUAUUAUUCCAUGUUCGUCAUUAGAUUUUAACCAGCAAACAAAUAAUUACCUAUCAUAAUAUAUAUAAACCGAAAGUGGCUGAACAUUUUGAAUAGUUAACGAUCUAAGUAUAAGAUUAAAAUAAUCGGCAUAUAAUUGAAGCCAAAUAUUAUACAUUUAUGACGAUAUCAAAAAUGUUUUAUUAUUACAGCAUUUUAGCGUUUUGAUGAUAAAAAUGUGCAGAAAUAAAACGCCACCCUAUUAUUUAUUUUUUUUCAGAAGGGGGUGGACAACGCGCCGUACAAUUGUGUCAAUCUUUUGACACGGUAUUAUUUUGCAAUAUUUUGUUAUAUAUUUUUACAUUGAACUAACUAACAAAUUACCACUGAUUUGAACAGUUUUCAGCCCUUUCAACGACUAUUUGCAAAAUAUUAUAAGGUAUCAGAAUUUUACGGCAAAUAUAAUUGACAUUAUCAAGAAUAAAAAAAAUAUAACAGAAAAUUGUGAAACCUUUGCGAAGGCGGAUUUUAUUUUUUUAUUUAUUUAUUUUUGCAUUUCUUUAAAGAGCAAUAUUACAAAUAUAUCGAUUCUAUUAUUUACAAUAUGCACAAUUAUGUGAUUUUUGCGAGUUGGCAGAUGUCAACUAAAUCCGAAAAUUAUGCUCUUCAUGUAUACAUGAUAUAAGCUGACAAAGUCACUUAAAUGAUAAGGCUUGUACAGAUGAAUUAAUUAGCGCUUCGUUGGUUAAGUGUUUAUUUUUUUAUUGUGAAAUGAAUUUACUUGACGUGGAAGAUCAAUAACUCCUUUUCUAUUUCUCAUUUCAUACGAAUACGAAUACAAGCUUUAUUAAGCAUAAAACAUAUUACAAUGUUUGGAGCCAAUAUAACUUAGUCUAUUAAUACAGUGAGAAAAUGACAGAUUUAACAUUUUCUGAAGAGUAUAUUAGUCAACUGGAACAUUACAGACAGGAAUAAUUUUCAGGGGAUAUUCCUAACAGUUAACUUUUCUCAUAUGACACGAAUAUUAAAGCUUAGAAAGAAUACAAACAGUGUUUUAUUAUCAUUUUAUACACAAUUGGCCAAUGACAAUAAUACAGAUUAAGAUAUUUCAUUCUCGGAUCUCUUUAAUGUGGACAAACAAGAAGUGGUAUUCUGGUUCUAUUUGUUUCAUAUUACAUGAUUUGCAUAACCUCUGUUCGCGCGGUAUAUUUUCGUACCGCACUGUUUCAAUGUAAAGGCUAUGCAAAGAUGUUCUAAAUCUAGCUAAAGCAAUUCUAUAUUUACAUUCUUGUGCUAAAUCUAAAUAGUUUUCUAACUCAAAAUAAUGAUUGAAUUACAAUAUAUUUGUAACCAAGCUGAGUUAUUAAUCCCAGGAUACCAUUGUUGCUAAAAUGUGUUUACUAUUCUUUGUUAAAAAAAACACAACACACACACACACACACACAUUUUAAGAGGAAUUUCAAUAUCAGACUGAUUAUUUCAGAUACAUAAAACCAUGGACUUGACAACAUUUCCUUUAUAGAAAAUGCCAAAUUUUUGUUGCAGUAAUUGCGACUAGCAUCUGCGUGAGACUUGAGAAGUAAGUAAGCCUGCUUAACAAGGGAGUUAUCAUUCUGUUUAAUUACUACUAUGUUUCGAGGGCUGAGUAGGAAACUAUUGUAUCUGCAUUUUUUUUAAUUUUACAGGAGAAAAAAAAACUGUAUAUUUUCUUAAAAACACAGCUCAAUAUCACUAUUCUAAAAUCAUUAUCAAUUGAAAUAAAAAAUAAUAUAUAGGCUUUUGAAAUGCUAUUCUUAAGACUUAGCGAAAAGUGUCAGAAACAAUAGUUUCACUUUCAAAAUGACAAUAUUGAAUUUAAAAAGUCACCGUGAAACUAUUGUAUCUGUAUUGUUCAUUAAGAAUUAUUUAUUAAAUUCAUAUUGCUUUAAGCAUAGAAUUAUUUUUUAUCUUACAAAUAUCAUAAAUUACAAACAUACAAUGAAAAUAGUGUUAGAUACAGUAAUUUCUUUCUGAUGUCUGGGAAACUAUUGUAUCUGUAUCUGAAUUAUUUUUUCAUUUUUUUUCUAUUAUCAUAUUGAAUUACCUCUUAAAUAUUUGUAUUUGUCUUUCUAUUUCUAUUUAUAACUUGAUAAACAUAUAUUUUUAGGCUCUGAAAAUAACUAAACAAUAAUUUAAGCCAGGAAUAAUAGUCAAAUUGAAUAAAAAUAUAUUUAUCAUUACCUUUGAUAAUCUUUUUUGCGACCAUAUGCAUUAAUACUUGACUGUACACAUUUAAUUACAUCUAGAUUUAAAUUUCACACAAGAAAUUAAUUUAUGCUGAAAUGAAGCUAUACAAGGGGGUAAAUGAGCUGCAGCAUGAGAAAAUCAACAUAGUGCAUUUAUGACCAGCCACAGGCUGGUCUGGAUCCAUGCUUGUUGCAAAUGCACUAUGUUGGUUGUCUCAUGGUGCGUCUCAAAUUAACUAGAUAAAUUUAAUUCGGACCGAUUUCGUCCCUCCCACACCUUCAACAGGAACUUAUCUUUUCAGAACAGUCGGUGAAUUCCACUGUCAUUAUUUCAGUAAUGUUACAGAACUUUAAAUUUGUAAUAUGUUUUAAGCUAAUGCCAACAUUGAAUGAUGUGCAGUGGCAUGGCUACAGAGUCCUGUUUUUUGAAGUGACUGUGUAAUACAUAAAAAAUAUUUGUUUCCAUUGGUUAUUUCAAGUAUCAUGACCUGCAAAACUGCACUUUUUAUGCUUUAAACAUGGUCAAGGAUGUUAGAAAUAAACUUAUUGAUGCUCUAAAGGCUCAUAACCUCCUUAUUUGCAUGCUACGGCUUCAGUAGUAUAGUGAAACUUCGGUAAAGUAAAGACAGAAUGUUAUCAAGAAUCAUUUUCAAAAACUUCUGAAAACAGAGAUUUCCACAUGUUUCUUUUUUCGUGGACAAAGAAAUUCAUAUAAAUAUUAAUAGUACAAUAAAAAUGACAAUAUCGACUAGAUGUUUCUAACAGGACUUCAAUUUAUUACAAUAACUUUAAUCAACUUUAUCAAUAUUUGAGACUAGAAUUUCAAAAAUGUAAAGUAAAAAAGCAAGCACACGACCACAUGCAAGUUCGAUAGAUAAAUAGUAACUUUGGCGUUUGGUCAUGUCUUUACCCUCCAAUUAUCUGAAUAUGCUUCCCCAAACACUGCCUUAAAAUGAUCAUAAAGAUGUUAAAUAUUUUAAGUUUCAUCUUUGACGUUAUUCUUUUUUAAUGUGUUCUUGAUAUUAUGCCAGAAUUUCCCAGAUUGGGUUUUUGUCAAACUGAUUAUUCUCUUACCUUCGUCUAUUUUAAAUUUUUGUUCAUGCAUUAGUUCAUAUGACGUUACAGUUUAUAACAAAUAGUUAUUAUCAUCUCACUUAUUUACUGAUUUAACCACCUCAUUUACCUUUGUCAUAACAAGUAUAUACUGAUUAGUUGAAAACAAGUAGAGGAGGCUUUUAAGAGAGGAUGUUCUGUUUGGCACAACAUAUUUUGUCUGGUCAUAUGUCAUAUGUAAAUUGCAACUGUCCAUGUUUUGUAUAAAAUAUGAAACAUCUUUUACAUGACUGAUUUUCUUACACUUCAUUCUAUCUGUGCUUAACAUUCUCAUAAAGAGUAUGCAAGUAAUGAAAGCAGAUUAACUUGAAACAGCGAUCUUUUCUGAAAAUGAUAUACAUGUACAAUAGUAGAAAUUUGGACAGCUUUGAAAUUCCUUUAGCUAAAUUUUAAAAUGUGAAUGUGCUAAGUUGCCGACAUAUGCUAGUAUAACAAUAGUCCGCAUGUAACUUUUUCUUUAACUUUUAGCAGCAAAUAUGUCAGCGUGACUGUUUUGUACACAUACUUCCAGUUGAAUCGGAACUGAGAACUUGAUGCAUUAUUUUCUGUAUAAAAGUAAGUUUUAAGGUGUCAUAAGUUCUGUGCUGCUAUGGGGUCA
rnacentral:lncRNA from 1 species